CAUCAUGGCUUGGAUUCUUUUUAUCUUCAUAGUCCUAACUUUGUUCGGGUCCAGUAUCCAGCAAUUGCAGAGCUUGAAAGAUCCAGAUUUUGUAGCUCUAGCAGGGACAAUCACCAUAUCCUGUAGAUAUGACAGUGGAACCAUCACUGACAGCAAUUACCCUGUGUGGGUCCAACAGAAGUCAGAGCAGACUCCAAGGCUCUUAAUACACAGCACCAGCACCAGACACACAGGCGUUCCAGCACGUUUCUCUGGCUCCAGGUCAGGGAACACCAUGUCCCUGACCAUCACAGGGACCUUAGUGGAAGACGAGGCUGUGUAUUACUGUGGUGUCUGGACUGGAAGCGGGCGCACAGUCUCUGAUUCAGAUAGAGAAGUGAGACAAAAACCUUACAGGAUAUGA